GCAGUCGAGCGAGACCUUCGGGNUNCUAGCGGCGGACGGGUUAGUAACGCGUGGGAACGUGCCCUUCUCUGCGGAAUAGCCACUGGAAACGGUGAGUAAUACCGCAUACGCCCUUCGGGGGAAAGAUUUAUCGGAGAAGGAUCGGCCCGCGUUAGAUUAGAUAGUUGGUGGGGUAACGGCCUACCAAGUCUACGAUCUAUAGCUGGUUUUAGAGGAUGAUCAGCAACACUGGGACUGAGACACGGCCCAGACUCCUACGGGAGGCAGCAGUGGGGAAUCUUAGACAAUGGGCGCAAGCCUGAUCUAGCCAUGCCGCGUGUGUGAUGAAGGUCUUAGGAUCGUAAAGCACUUUCGCCAGGGAUGAUAAUGACAGUACCUGGUAAAGAAACCCCGGCUAACUCCGUGCCAGCAGCCGCGGUAAUACGGAGGGGGUUAGCGUUGUUCGGAAUUACUGGGCGUAAAGCGCGCGUAGGCGGAUUGGAAAGUUGGGGGUGAAAUCCCGGGGCUCG
rnacentral:rRNA from 1 species